CCUACGUGUGGCAGCAGUGGGGGAUAUUGCACAAUGGGGGAAACCCUGAUGCAGCGACGCCGCGUGUGGGAAGACGGUCCUCUGGAUUGUAAACCACUGUCCCCAGGGACGAAAAUGACGGUACCUGGGGAGGAAGCUCCGGCUAACUACGUGCCAGCAGCCGCGGUAAUACGUAGGGAGCGAGCGUUGUCCGGAAUUACUGGGUGUAAAGGGAGCGUAGGCGGUAUGUCCAGUCAAGGGUGAAAUCCCCGCGCUCAACGUGGGAACUGCCUUUGAAACUGGCAAACUGGAGUGUGUGAGAGGAUAGUGGAAUUCCAGGUGUAGGAGUGAAAUCCGUAGAUAUCUGGAGGAACAUCAGUGGCGAAGGCGACUAUCUGGCACAUAACUGACGCUGAGGAGCGAAAGCGUGGGUAGCAAACAGGAUUAGAUACCCCAGUAGUC
rnacentral:rRNA from 1 species